UACGGAGGGUGCAACGUUGCUCGGAAUCAUUGGGCGUAAAGCGCACGUAGGCGGCCUGUUAAGUCGGGUGUGAAAGCCCUUGGCUCAACUGAGGAAGUGCAUCCGAAACUGGCAGGCUAGAGUACGAAAGAGGAUCGCGGAAUUCCGGUGUAGAGGUGAAAUUCGUAGAUAUCGGGAGGAACACCGGUGGCGAAGGCGGCGAUCUGGGUCGAUACUGACGCUGAGGUGCGAAAGCGUGGGAGCAACAGG
rnacentral:rRNA from 1 species